AAAUUUAAGCCACGCUCUUUCCCAACACAGGAAAUAAUAUGCUCCAGAGAAUCCUCUAAUUCACCGAAAAUGGACUUGGAUAACAUUUGGGUUCUCAUACUACCACAGUCCUCUUGAGAAGGACAGCCAGGAGGAUAAUAAUGAAGGGGCCAGGGAAGGAGGCCAAUGCUACAGGGUUAUCUCCUAACCUCAGAUGUUGGAUAAGUCCAGGGAAACAGCAGCGCUUCUGGAUGGCUUCAGAAAGGCUGGAGUGAUUGUUUGGACGAGAAAAACCCGCCUAUUCAUUCAAAGGUACAUGAAUGUUGUCGACACUGUCCCAUCUAAAGGUUCAUCCUUAGAAUCCUGCCUUAGACAAAGGAAGCGCUUGGAGCCCCACCACACCUAA
rnacentral:lncRNA from 1 species